GGUAUAUGAAAAUAAAUAAUCUCUGACUUAAAAACGCUGUAUGUACUCGUUAGUUCAAGGAAAUAAAAUAAUUUACAAGCUAAUGACAUUAUGGCCCAGUGGUAGGAGUCAUGGAACUUGGUUGGGUUUGGGUUCAAUUCUUAUCAGCAGCACAAAUAAAUAAUGCGCACAUAUAAAUAAAUUUAUUAUGGAAAGUCAAUCAC
rnacentral:misc_RNA from 1 species